rnacentral:rRNA from 1 species
GGUAGCAUAAUCAAUAGUCUUAUAAUUGAAGGCUGGAAUGAAUGAUCGGACAAGGGGCUAACUGUCUCUUUUUAAUAAUAUAGAAUUUUACUUUUAAGUGAAAAGGCUUAAAUAAUUUAAUGGGAAGACAAGACCCUAUAAAACUUUACAAAAUAUAUUAAUAAAUAAUUUGGUAGUUUAAAAUUAUAUUAGGUUAUUUUUGUUGAGCUGGGGCGGUUUUUAUAAAAAAAUUAACUGUAAGUUAAAUUAAAAUAUAAAUAUAUGAUCCUUAGGUUUGGAGAUUAAAAGACUAAGUUACUUUAGGGAUAACAGCAUAAUUUUCCUUGAGAGUUCUUAUCGACAGGAGUAGUUGUGACCUCGAUGUUGAAUUAAAGUCUCCUUUUAGUGAAGAAGCUUAAAGGGUGAGUCUGUUCGACUUUUAAAACUUUACAUGAUUUGAGUUCAAACCGGUGUGAG